GAGGGGGCAAGCGUUGUUCGGAAUUACUGGGCGUAAAGGGCGCGUAGGCGGCCUGUUAAGUCGAACGUGAAAUCCCUGGGCUCAACCCAGGAACUGCGUCCGAUACUGGCAGGCUUGAAUUCGGGAGAGGGAUGCGGAAUUCCAGGUGUAGCGGUGAAAUGCGUAGAUAUUAGGAAGAACACCGGUGGCGAAGGCGGCCCACUGGAUCGGCACUGACGCUGAGGUGCGAAAGCGUGGGGAGCAAACAGG
rnacentral:rRNA from 1 species